rnacentral:ncRNA from 2 species
ACUCCAUGAAGUCGGAAUCGCUAGUAAUCGUAGAUCAGAAUGCUACGGUGAAUACGUUCCCGGGCCUUGUACACACCGCCCGUCACACCAUGGGAGUGGGUUGCAAAAGAAGUAGGUAGCUUAACCUUCGGGAGGGCGCUUACCACUUUGUGAUUCAUGACUGGGGUGAAGUCGUAACAAGGUAACCGUAGGGGAACCUGCGGUUGGAUCACCUCCUUA